rnacentral:lncRNA from 1 species
GCUGGUGGGUCACUCUCCAUGUCGUCUGGCUCUGCGCGGGGGUGGUGUGGCUUCUCCGUGGUCGUGCUCCACACUAUAGGUGUGUCGCGGCGUACAUGUGGGUCGAGGGAUGGUGCUAGUAUCAGGUUGGGGAGACUUGAUUUGUGCCGGAGACCGGUGUACGGAGGGUCACUGGGGAUCUCGUGGAGGCGUCUGUCUUCCAGAGGCAGCGCGGACGACCAGCGACGUGGGUCAUGUGCCUUCGUGUGUGGAGCUUGGGGGCAUUGGGCACUUAUCGCUAGGCUUAGUCGAUUCAAGGCGAUCUUGUGCCGGUGCUGCACCUUGCCCCGGGGGAAAAGCUUCUGAAGAUCAGUGGUGGUGAUGAGGUGUUGUGUUGUGUUCUUGUCGAUGAGCGCGUGCAUGUCUAGGCCCAGCUCUGUCAAGGGGAGCAAGCAUCUGUACGGCAGGGUUUCGGACUUUGUGUCCUGCCGCGCGUUGACGGCGGAGGCGGCCGUCAUGAGAGUGUUUAGGGAUGUGUUAUACGGCAUCCCUUUGUCGGUGACCGCGAUGCCAUGGUCUCGCGCCAGGGUCAGCUGUUUCAGGGUCGUGUAGAAACUGCUCUCUCGUUUCAACGUGUGCAUCCUAGUGUCGGCUGCCAGGCGACACUGCAGCUCAAGCAUGGCUCGUGUCACGACGCCUAGCCGGCCUUCAUCAUUCAGGGAGAGGACCAGCGCGCGAGCUGCCAUGCGCACAUAGAUCGGUAGUAGGGACCCAACGCCGAGUCCAUAUGUUCCACCGGUAGCAGCACGGCGCGUGUGGGAAAACUGGUGGGCAAGCGGUAGCAGCGUCGGGCUGCUCGUGCGAUCAUCGCAUCCAAAAGUCUGAUAUCAUUAGGAGUGUAUGCCAUGGUGGAGAAGCUGUAUGACACUACCGCUUGUAUACAAGUCUGUAUGAUUCUGAUACAUUGGUCUGGCGAUGCUAGGGAUCCCUGAAGUAGGUCGCCCUUGUCCCUCACCGCCUUGCAGACGUGGGACAUCUGUGCGCUCCAGUUGAGGGUCAGUGUUACGUGGACCCCGAGGUACUUGUAGGGUUCCGUGGGGGGUAGGUACGGCACUGACUGGUCGCUGAUUUUGAUUUUUUCAUCCAAGGCUGCCUUGAGGGUGCGUGCACACGUGGGUCCGUUCAGGCCUCGGUCGGCCCAUGCCCUGUGGUGCAGGAUGCCCGUCACUGCGCAUUUUUUUGUGAUUCACGUGUAGGCCCGCCCAUUUCGAGUACAAGCUGAUCUUGUCGCAUUGUAUUUGUAGGUCUUGUGUGCUGUUGGUCAUCACGGCGAGGUCGUCGGCGUAGGCGGCUGAGCUUCCAUGGUACCUGGCGUUCAAGCUGUCGGGGAGGCAGCCGUAUUUGUACCCUCGUCCGCCAGCGUGGAGCCAUCGGAGGAGUGGUUCGAGGAAAAUAAUGAAUAGCACCGGCGAGAGCGUGUCCCCCUGUACUGUGCCUCGUUCGAUCAUUAUUGGCACUGUGUGGCCGUGUUCUGUCCGUAUAGUGGUCCGCGCUUGGCUGUACAGGUCCCGUACGACAUAGAUGAGGUCCUCGGGUAGCCCUAGGUCGUACAUGAUCUGUAGCAGCAGGUCGUGGUUGAUGGUGUUGAAUGCCAAGGAGAAGUCGACGUAUAGCAGGUAGAGAUCUUUGCGUGUGAGCCCAGCAUCCUCAAUCACGUGGAGCAGGUUUUGGAUUUGCCGUUCCGUGUUUCUGUACCGGAGGAACCCUUCUUGCGCCUCGCUAAACAACACGAGUUCGGGAGCGAUGUCCCCGAUGGACACUGUGACGAGGCUAGUCCAUAACUUAUAAAGAGUGUUGGCGAGGGCAAUGGGUCGCUUGUUGUUCAGGAGGAGCGCAUCUCCUGCUUUUGGUAGAAGGACCGUAACGGAUUCAGUCCAUUGCUUUGGCGUGCGGGCCUGGGCCCACAUGACUUUCAGGAGGUCGUGGAUGGUGGACUGUAAGGCAGUGGGCAAUGCUCUCAGUAGCUCGUUAGGUAUCCCAUCGGGCCCCGGUGUUUUAUUGCGGGCCAGGUGUUGGACACACUUGUUAAAGUUAAAAGGGUCAGCGACGCUGCUAAGCAGGACGUGGUCCGCGGCCUGUUUCGGGCUGGUAA